UGAAAGUGCAGGUGGAAGAGAGAGCAGGCAGCAGCAAACAGGUCGUCAGAGGAGCCAAGAUGAUGAUUAAGUUUAACAUUUUCUACAAUAUUGACAAAGCAAUUUAAGCACAAGUUUGUUAGUUAAUAAUUUAGAAAUGAAUAUUGUCUGUAUGGACUUCCCCCCCAAAGAAAGUGCACAUGUAAAACUGCGGUGUUAAGCGAUGCGGUUGAAAAAUUUGAGUGCGCCUAACUUUUGUGCCGGUACGCCUAAAUUUUUAAAGUUAGGCGUACCGGUGCGCCCAUGUCAAAAAGUUAGUCUAGAGCCCUGUAUUUAUGAGGCCGUCUACAGGGUCAGAUCAGAAAUGAAGUCAGAUUACAGUUUUUCUCGAUUGCUUAAACACUAUAACCAGGCCUCUAAACUAAAAUUUCAAAACCAUAAACGCUAUUGGUCAAAAAGCUCACCCAUUUCCCUGAACUAUAAACACUAUUCCCUGCUUUGACACAUGACUCAAAUUUGGUGAACUGGUACUGCAAAACUCUACACACAAAUCCCUACAUUUUACAGUGCUUACACCAUAUAGUCAUGUAGAAAGCACUAGCAUGCAAUAAUGUUAACUUAAGUCAGCAUAGCUUGAGCCCAAUUAGCACACAAUUAACCAGGUGGAAACACUAGGAGUCAAAAUUUAGCACACACCAAUCAGAACCUGCGAUGGAUAGAUAAAAGGGCCAAAGUCAGCUCAUUCAGGUUUGAAACAAUGGAUCCAAAGAGAUGCAAAGGAAGAGGACGUGGUGGAGAAAGAGGACGUGGUGAAAGAGGAGGACGUGGUGGAGAAAGAGGACGUGGUGAAGGAGGAGGACGUGGUGGAGAAAGAGGACAUGGUGAAAGAGGAGGACGUGGUGGAAGAGGAGGAGGAGGUGGUGAAGGAGGUGGAGGUGGAGAACGACGGCGACAAGGAA
ensembl:lncRNA